GUGCUCCCUUAGCAGCACAUAUACUAAAAUUGGAACUAUAUGGAGAAGAUUAGCAUGGCUUCUCUGCAAAGAUUACAUGCAAAUUUGCAAAGCAUUCUGUAUUUAA
rnacentral:snRNA from 1 species